rnacentral:rRNA from 1 species
GAUUUCUGGCGUUUCAUUUCAGGCCGGCCACGGUUUCGUGUGUUAGUGCUUGAGAUCUUCGCCAUCCUUCCAAUGGCUAUUCAUCCUUCUUCAUUGAAGGUGUGAGUGGUAUUGGAUCUUUUACUUUGAAAAAAUUAGAGUGUUUAAAGCAGGCUUGCGCUAUGAAUACAUUAGCAUGGAAUAAUAAUUUAGGACUUUGGUCUUAUUUUGUUGGUUUCUAGGACUAAAGUAAUGAUUGAUAGGGACAGUUGGGGGUGCUAGUAUUCAGCGGCCAGAGGUGAAAUUCUUGGAUUCGCUGAAGACUAACUUAUGCGAAAGCAUU